rnacentral:rRNA from 1 species
GAUGAACGCUGGCGGCGUGCCUAAUACAUGCAAGUCGAGCGAACGGACGAGACUCUUGCUUCUCUUAUGUUACCGGCGGACGGGUGAGUCACACGUGGAUACCCUACCUAUAAGACUGGGAUAACUUCGGGGAACCUGAUCUAGUACCGGAUAUGAUUUUGAACGUCUGGGUUCAUCGGACAUCACGGUAUUUGCUGUGCCUAAGUCAGGUUCCCGCGUUGCAUUAGCUAGUUGGUAAGGUAACGGCUUACCAAGGCAACGAUGCAUAGCCGACCUGAGAGGGUGAUCAGCCACACUGGAACUGAGACACGGUCCAGACUCCUACGGGAGGCAGCAGUAGGGAAUCUUCCGCAAUGGGCGAAAGCCUGACGGAGCAACGCCGCGUGAGUGAUGAAGGUCUUCGGAUCGUAAAACUCUGUUAUUAGGGAAGAACAUAAGUGUAAGUAACUGUGCACAUCUUGACGGUACCUAAUCAGAAAGCAACGGCUAACUACGUG